UGCCUCCUCGUUAUUCAAACCACUGCUCUCUCUCCCCACCCUAUUUGUGCAAAUCUCGCCAAUCCUUUAAGUCUCAAAUCAAAUCCCACUUCCUCAUUCAAGAUUUUCCUGAGUCUUCUAGCUUUGAAAUUCACCUUUCCUCCUCUGAUGCUGUUGUGUUCCGUUGCAAUUCAUAAUUUACUUCCUCUUCAUGUGGUCAUGCUUUAUCUUCCCAACUAGAAAGGCAACUUCUUAAAGGUGAAAGCCAACUCAGCAACAUCUCUUUAAGGAGAUAAUAUGAAGAGGCAUCAGCUUUUGUUCUGAUACCAUCAACAAUGAUCCAGAUGAAAAGGAAUAUGGUUCAACCUCCAUAUUUCUCAUAAAGAGAAAACUGAGGUCCAGAGAAGUGAAAUGGCUUAUCCAGAGGCAGUCAGGAGCCUUGUUUGCUGCAUGUGUGCCAGAACCUCGGAGCAGGAAACAUGCCAUCAGAAUGAAUGUGUCUGCCUGGCAAGGGCAGGGCAGAGCGGAAUCGAUUACAGAGAGGAAGGCGGGCAGUUGAAUGGGAUGCUGCCUAAAGAGAACCCAGCAGAUCCGUUCACUCUGCGAGCCAGUCUUGACCUUCUGCGCCUUAGGACCAUCUCCCUAGGACCACCAGCAUGAAGUUCAUGUGUCAAGAAGAAGUCGUCUGUGUUCUCCAAAAGCAACUUCAUGACCAGUUUUGAAAUAAUUCAAAACAUUUGCUCUCUUCAGAUCAGCUUCCUUCAAGCCAAUGUUUAUUUAAUUCAUAUGUCUGAAGUUUUCUGGCUCUUGAAAGUCAACAUUCUUGGUCUCCUCCCCUGUCCCAGCAUGUUUAAGUUGAGAUGGUGUUCUUUCUUGUUUCCUUAAGAGCUCUUGCCAAGUCACUGGGCAUGUCUCUCUUGUUCAUCUUCUGAAAAUCUUCAAUAAAUACAUGUCCUGAUUCUCCCA
rnacentral:lncRNA from 1 species